rnacentral:ncRNA from 2 species
UAAUAGUAGUUGAAAAUGAUUAUCAAUACCACAUAGAACAUCCCCCCCCCACAACGUUUCGUUCUUGUUGGAUUGGUCAUUUUCAAAUAUUCCCCUUUUAUAUGCCCGUAAAAGACAAUAUACGUUAUAACAACGUUUUAUAAAAGCAGUAAACCCUUACGACACUUUAGGUUUACUGCUUUU